rnacentral:rRNA from 1 species
UGGGGAAUAUUGCACAAUGGGCGCAAGCCUGAUGCAGCCAUGCCGCGUGUGUGAAGAAGGCCUUCGGGUUGUAAAGCACUUUCAGCGAGGAGGAAGGCGUUAAGGUUAAUAACCUUAGCGAUUGACGUUACUCGCAGAAGAAGCACCGGCUAACUCCGUGCCAGCAGCCGCGGUAAUACGGAGGGUGCAAGCGUUAAUAGGAAUUACUGGGCGUAAAGCGCACGCAGGCGGUUUGUUAAGUCAGAUGUGAAAUCCCCGAGCUUAACUUGG